AUAUAAUGAGAGGACAAAGGUGUUUCAAUUCAAUGUUGUAAGCAAUUUGGACACGACAACAGCAGUACGACAUUUUUCAUUGGUGUUAUUUCACAUCGUGUUUUCCCAGCUUUGCAGUUAUGAGUAAUUGGACGUUUUAUUUUAACAUUUGAUCGUAGGAAUCAAACCUGUGAUCAGUUUUGAUUUUAACCAAUUCAAUUGAAUUUGUGCCUACCUGCAUGGCAUUCAAAAGGAUUAGUUUUUUAAGCCCUCAAAUAAUAAUCGGCCCCAAGUUACUACACAGAGGCACUGGUGUACUAAACUACGACAUACGCUACACCAAGUUAUUCCAGCGAAGCCCCGAAGUACUAUAUGCUGCUCCCAGCUACACCCCUUACUGUUGUCUACUACACCGCAACAGAAGCAAACAAGUAUUACGUAGCUCCGUCUUAUUACACCACAGCUGCUCCAUCUUACUACACCGAGCCCAACUACUACACAACAACCUCGUCACCCCUGCAUUCUACACUGAGGCCCCAAAAUAUUACUCGCCUCCAAGUUACUACACUGAAGCCUACACCUCAUACGCCAAGCCAGACAACUACACCAAUGCUCCACAAAACUAUGCUACUGCCUCUUAUUAUACAACUAAGGCCCGGAGUACUACGCUAUAGAGAAGGCCGAGUACUACACCACUACCUAUGCUGCUCCAGCGCACUACACUGAAGUUCCAAAUUAUACAAUAGACGUUUUUAGUAGACUAUCACGGCGUGCUGAUGUCAUGCUGUUUGCAACAAAC